UACGGAGGGUGCAAGCGUUAUCCGGAUUCACUGGGUUUAAAGGGUGCGUAGGUGGGCUAGUAAGUCAGUGGUGAAAUCUCCGGGCUUAACCCGGAAACUGCCAUUGAUACUAUUCGUCUUGAAUACUGUGGAGGUCAGCGGAAUAUGUCAUGUAGCGGUGAAAUGCUUAGAUAUGACAUAGAACACCAAUUGCGAAGGCAGCUGGCUACACAAAUAUUGACACUGAGGCACGAAAGCGUGGGGAUCAAACAGG
rnacentral:rRNA from 1 species